UCCCCGUUAACCGAGGCAGUCUCGCUAGAGUGCCCACCAUUACGUGCUGGCAACUAACGACAAGGGUUGCGCUCGUUGCGGGACUUAACCCAACACCUCACGGCACGAGCUGACGACAGCCAUGCAGCACCUGUGUAAUUGUCUCUUGCGAGAAAACUUCAUUUCUGAAGCGGUCAACUACAUGUCAAAUCCAGGUAAGGUUCUUCGCGUUGCAUCGAAUUAAACCACAUACUCCACUGCUUGUGCGGGUCCCCGUCAAUUCUUUUGAGUUUUACCCUUGCGAGCGUACUCCCCAGGCGGUAUACUUAUCGCGUUGGCUUCGGUACAGUCAGGGUUGAGCCUAACUACACCAAGUAUACAUCGUUUAGGGCAAGGACUAC
rnacentral:misc_RNA from 1 species